GAUCCCUUAGCUCAGUGGUAGAGUGUGUGAUUCCAGUCAAGGUGAUUCCACAAAGUCAUCCGUUCAAAUCGGGUAGGGAUCA
rnacentral:tRNA from 1 species